rnacentral:rRNA from 1 species
GCCGACUGAAUUCGCGAUGCAUCUAGAUUAGAGUUUGAUCAUGGCUCAGAUUGAACGCUGGCGGCAGGCCUAACACAUGCAAGUCGAGCGGAUGAAAGGAGCUUGCUCCUGGAUUCAGCGGCGGACGGGUGAGUAAUGCCUAGGAAUCUGCCUGGUAGUGGGGGACAACGUUUCGAAAGGAACGCUAAUACCGCAUACGUCCUACGGGAGAAAGCAGGGGACCUUCGGGCCUUGCGCUAUCAGAUGAGCCUAGGUCGGAUUAGCUAGUUGGUGAGGUAAUGGCUCACCAAGGCGACGAUCCGUAACUGGUCUGAGAGGAUGAUCAGUCACACUGGAACUGAGACACGGUCCAGACUCCUACGGGAGGCAGCAGUGGGGAAUAUUGGACAAUGGGCGAAAGCCUGAUCCAGCCAUGCCGCGUGUGUGAAGAAGGUCUUCGGAUUGUAAAGCACUUUAAGUUGGGAGGAAGGGUUGUAGAUUAAUACUCUGCAAUUUUGACGUUACCGACAGAAUAAGCACCGGCUAACUCUGUGCCAGCAGCCGCGGUAAUACAGAGGGUGCAAGCGUUAAUCGGAAUUACUGGGCGUAAAGCGCGCGUAGGUGGUUCGUUAAGUUGGAUGUGAAAUCCCCGGGCUCAACCUGGGAACUGCAUUCAAAACUGUCGAGCUAGAGUAUGGUAGAGGGUGGUGGAAUUUCCUGUGUAGCGGUGAAAUGCGUAGAUAUAGGAAGGAACACCAGUGGCGAAGGCGACCACCUGGACUGAUACUGACACUGAGGUGCGAAAGCGUGGGGAGCAAACAGGAUUAGAA